GGAGAGGUGUUGGGCAACUUCCAGGGCCGGAGCCGGCUCGGACGCCGGCCAGAGGGCAGGCACACGCAGACCUGGGCACCGCCGCCUUCUCCCCCGGUGGGCGGCGCGGAGGUGGCGCCUCUCCUCGUGCCGGGCGCGGCCUCCCCGGGGACCCCGGGCCGGCUCCAGCCCCGCUCCCGGCCCCGCUGCCUUGCACAUCCUCCAGCCGCCAUCUGGGCCGCGCUGAUACCGUAAUCGCCCCGAUGCACGCCGCCGUGCCGCCCCCCCCGCGCCGGCGGGGCCGCGGAGCCGCGAUGCUCCGUCCCUGCGCCGCAGAUAAGCCGCGAGGCGCGUGAGGCGCACAAAGCUCGGGCCGCGCCGGCGCCUCCUCGUCCCUCCCGCCGCCGGAAGAUGGACUUCUGGUGGUGCUUUUUAAGUUCUCUUCCAGAUUAAAAUGAAUUGCACGCUCAGUGCGUGCACGCACGCUGCUUUAGCGAACGGCUUUAUCAGUGGUCAUAUCUUAAAGCAACAUUAAACAAUUACCUUUAUAUUUAAAAGUUUGAAAUAUUUAUACUGCCGUUUCACUUUGUCAAGUGUUUGCACAGAUAGAUAUAUAGAUAUGAUCUGGUAACUAAAAGCCUAAUUAAAAUUUGUUUAAAGCCAGGGGGGCAUGUAUUCUUGUUGACAGCAGCAGAUCGAUAGGGUAAGACAAUAGAGCCCCAUUAUUUUACUUCCAUUGACUGAACAUAUUGACAUUUCAAGUUUGCGAUUGCCUCAGUGAGCAUGAUGAAACACUGAAAUUCAUGAACCAACUGUCUGGAGUGGCACAUAUAUUACUGUAUGUCAUCUCUGCCUUCAGGUUACCUUAUCACUGAAGCAGAAUUGUAAUGGAUGGCAGCAGAGUACUUCAGGGGGGUGAGGGCUCUAUCCGUUAAGAAGCUGACACAUAGCAGGUUUCAGGAGUAUCUUUAAUUACACCUAGAAUUAUGUACAAAGGAAGAUGGUCCUUGUUACCUGCUGCUGAGCUUCAGAAUUUACAGGCACAGAAGCAGAUGGGAUAACAAGGUACUUAUGUGUCAUUUUUUAUAUACAUGACUUGAUACCUUUAACUUUUGCAGGAGCCCAAGGAUUUCUGGUUGUACUGUUUGCAUGCUUGCCAUGUUCACCAAUGGCAGCAUCUCAACCCAGUCUUGAUGCUCAAGUUCUAGAGCAUCUGCUAGACCUUCUCCCAAUCUGAAGACUGCAAAGGAAACAAAGAACAACUUCGAAAUAAAUAAAUGCCCUUUGAAUUUCUCUCCCCUCAACAUGUUCAAACAACAGUGCUCAGAGAAUUCAAUGCAGUGAGACUAUAGCGGAAUGAAACAUACAUGCAUAUAUGUAUAUCUAUAUAUAUACACACACACACAUUUUUCCUUGCUAUAAGCACCAUAAAAAGAAAUGUCUGUGCAAUAUGUGCACAUGAAUGCAUAAUUGUAUAUAUCAGUUUAUAUGAUUGCAUAUAAAUGCCUUUAUAAAGAAGACCCCUGUCUGCAGAGCAUGCAAUGUGUUUAUUAUUUCAGAGGCUUUCACAUCAUCUUUAAAAUCUAGCUGACUGUAGAAUGAAACCCAUUAGGCUAACGCAGAGAUAGAGACUGAAAUUAAUUUAAAGCAGACAAAGAGCAAAUACAGAAGAGCUGUUAGGAUUUAACUAAUUUUUAAAAGUAAGUGGACUGAAAAUAUAAAAUGUAUUUUGUGUGCCAUCUACUCAGCAAUUGUUGCCAUCAAGUGGACUGCCGAUGCCCUUUAAGAUGGUAAAAAGAAAACUAGUCCUUUAUACCAUUUUCCUGAAAAUGUUAGGUUUCUGUUUGAUCAGCAGGUGCUGUUGAGAUGAAAGCCAUGUGUAAAUUUUCAGAAGGCCAAAAGUGUCAAUUCAGAAAAGGAAAGUGAUAAGAGAAAAUGCAAUCAGUUUUCCUGUUUUCAAUUUGUGCAGGAUUUGAAGAGCUGUUUUGUUAAACUGCUACAUCUGCUCCAAUAUGAAUAUUGAACUACUUCCACUAAAAAUAACACCCUAUAAUUUGGAAGCCAUUGCAAUCUUUUGUUAAUGCAAGUGGGUUAUUUGAAAAAAAAUCUAUUCUGAAAAAUCUCCUGCCUAAUGUGCAUUUUUGUUUAUUGGCACUUUUAUCUUCAGCAGAUAAAAUGGCAUUAUGCAAUUAGGACCAUAUCUAUUUGAACUGGAAAAAUGACACUGGAUAACUGAAUGCCACUAUGUUGAUAAAAGGAUUUAACUCGUACUUUUAAAAUAAUUUUAUUAAUAAACUAUGAUUGUAUCUUAAAAUGA